ACCCCAGGCGUUGACCGUCUUAUUUUGUCCGUCUCGACGAGCCCUAUCCGUGGACACCUCAUUUGUUGCGAUCCGACGCAUACAAAUCGAGGAAUUUGCAGGACAGUCGAAAUUUUGGGUCAUACCGAGGGCGACCCCAGGCGUUGACCGUCUUAUUUUGUCCGUCUCGACGAGCCCUAUCCGUGGACACCUCAUUUGUUGCGAUCCGACGCAUACAAAUCGAGGAAUUUGCAGGACAGUCGAAAUUUUGGGUCAUACCGAGGGCGACCCCAGGCGUUGACCGUCUUAUUUUGUCCGUCUCGACGAGCCCUAUCCGUGGACACCUCAUUUGUUGCGAUCCGACGCAUACAAAUCGAGGAAUUUGCAGGACAGUCGAAAUUUUGGGUCAUACCGAGGGCGACCCCAGGCGUUGACCGUCUUAUUUUGUCCGUCUCGACGAGCCCUAUCCGUGGACACCUCAUUUGUUGCGAUCCGACGCAUACAAAUCGAGGAAUUUGCAGGACAGUCGAAAUUUUGGGUCAUACCGAGGGCGACCCCAGGCGUUGACCGUCUUAUUUUGUCCGUCUCGACGAGCCCUAUCCGUGGACACCUCAUUUGUUGCGAUCCGACGCAUACAAAUCGAGGAAUUUGCAGGACAGUCGAAAUUUUGGGUCAUACCGAGGGCGACCCCAGGCGUUGACCGUCUUAUUUUGUCCGUCUCGACGAGCCCUAUCCGUGGACACCUCAUUUGUUGCGAUCCGACGCAUACAAAUCGAGGAAUUUGCAGGACAGUCGAAAUUUUGGGUCAUACCGAGGGCGACCCCAGGCGUUGACCGUCUUAUUUUGUCCGUCUCGACGAGCCCUAUCCGUGGACACCUCAUUUGUUGCGAUCCGACGCAUACAAAUCGAGGAAUUUGCAGGACAGUCGAAAUUUUGGGUCAUACCGAGGGCGACCCCAGGCGUUGACCGUCUUAUUUUGUCCGUCUCGACGAGCCCUAUCCGUGGACACCUCAUUUGUUGCGAUCCGACGCAUACAAAUCGAGGAAUUUGCAGGACAGUCGAAAUUUUGGGUCAUACCGAGGGCGACCCCAGGCGUUGACCGUCUUAUUUUGUCCGUCUCGACGAGCCCUAUCCGUGGACACCUCAUUUGUUGCGA